rnacentral:rRNA from 1 species
GAGUUUGAUCAUGGCUCAGGACGAACGCUGGCGGCGUGCCUAAUACAUGCAAGUAGAACGCUGAAGGAGGAGCUUGCUCUUCUGGAUGAGUUGCGAACGGGUGAGUAACGCGUAGGUAACCUGCCUGGUAGCGGGGGAUAACUAUUGGAAACGAUAGCUAAUACCGCAUAAGAGUAGAUGUUGCAUGACAUUUACUUAAAAGAUGCAAUUGCAUCACUACCAGAUGGACCUGCGUUGUAUUAGCUAGUUGGUGGGGUAACGGCUCACCAAGGCGACGAUACAUAGCCGACCUGAGAGGGUGAUCGGCCACACUGGGACUGAGACACGGCCCAGACUCCUACGGGAGGCAGCAGUAGGGAAUCUUCGGCAAUGGACGAAAGUCUGACCGAGCAACGCCGCGUGAGUGAAGAAGGUUUUCGGAUCGUAAAGCUCUGUUGUAAGAGAAGAACGAGUGUGAGAGUGGAAGGUUCACACUGUGACGGUAUCUUACCAGAAAGGGACGGCUAACUACGUGCCAGCAGCCGCGGUAAUACGUAGGUCCCGAGCGUUGUCCGGAUUUAUUGGGCGUAAAGCGAGCGCAGGCGGUUAGAUAAGUCUGAAGUUAAAGGCUGUGGCUUAMCCAUAKUACGCUUUGGAAAACUGUUUAACUUUGAGUGCAA